rnacentral:rRNA from 1 species
UUGAGCGAUUUACUUCGGUAAAGAGCGGCGGACGGGUGAGUAACGCGUGGGUAACCUACCCUGUACACACGGAUAACAUACCGAAAGGUAUGCUAAUACGGGAUAACAUAUUUAAGAGGCAUCUCUUAAAUAUCAAAGGUGAGCCAGUACAGGAUGGACCCGCGUCUGAUUAGCUAGUUGGUAAGGUAACGGCUUACCAAGGCGACGAUCAGUAGCCGACCUGAGAGGGUGAUCGGCCACAUUGGAACUGAGACA